rnacentral:piRNA from 1 species
UAAGUUCUAAUGAAACGCCCCUAAUACC